UACGAAGGGGGCUAGCGUUGUUCGGAUUUACUGGGCGUAAAGCGCACGUAGGCGGAUCGAUCAGUCAGGGGUGAAAUCCCAGGGCUCAACCCUGGAACUGCCUUUGAUACUGUCGAUCUGGAGUAUGGAAGAGGUGAGUGGAAUUCCGAGUGUAGAGGUGAAAUUCGUAGAUAUCGAGAGGAACACCGGUGGCGAAGGCGGCCAACUGGACCAAUACUGACGCUGAGACUCGAAAGCGUGGGGAGCAAACAGG
rnacentral:rRNA from 1 species